AACGAACGCUGGCGGCGUGCCUAACACAUGCAAGUCGAGGGAGAAAGCCGCAAGGUGAGUAAACCGGCGAACGGGUGCCUAACACGUGGACAACCACCCUCACAGACAGGGACAACUGGCCGAAAGGCUUGCUAAUACCUGGUAAGCGCACGGAGAGGAGUCUCUCUGGGCGAAAAGGAUGGCCUCUGUAAACAAGCUAUCGCUGUGAGACGGGUCCGCGGCCCAUCAGCUAGUUGGCGGGGUAAAAGCCCACCAAGGCAACGACGGGUAGCUGGUCUGAGAGGAUGAUCAGCCACACUGGAACUGAGACACGGUCCAGACUCCUACGGGAGGCAGCAGUGGGGAAUCUUGCGCAAUGGGCGAAAGCCUGACGCAGCAACGCCGCGUGUGUGAUGAAGGUCUUCGGAUCGUAAAGCACUGUCGCGAGGGACGAGAGGCCACGGGUGAACAAUCCGUGGAUAGGACGGUACCUCGAGAGGAAGCACCGGCUAACUCUGUGCCAGCAGCCGCAGUAA
rnacentral:rRNA from 1 species